AAUGGUUGAAGGUGUACUGGCUGGCGC
rnacentral:sRNA from 1 species